AUGCAGUGUUUCUUUCUGGGAGAAGCCUUAGGCUCAAUGAGACUAAGCAAACAUACCAAGACCUCAUCUAAAGAGAUCAGUAAUAUCUUUUCCAGUAGGAAAGUAUCCUCACUGAGCUUCAAUGCCGAAGUUUCUGCAUAUCUAGACCCCAAAGGUUCCCAGGCUCCACAGGCACACCUUGGGCUCCAGACAAGGGACUUCACCUCUGCACAUGCUGGACACAGCACAGAUACCACCUAUAAAGUGUUGAAGGAUCAAGACCAGGAAGCCAGAGCAGGCAGAACAGCCUUGGAUCAGCCAUUAAGCAAAAGAUAUAGGGGGAGAAGGGAAAAGAAAAAAAAAAGGAGACUGCCUGCAAGUUUUGCACUGACUAACUGCUCCUUAAAAACUCAGAAAGUGUUGUGCUUUUUGGAGCUGAGAGUCACCUGUGACUGAAACAAAGGUACAAUUUCCAGAGGCCACCUGGGAUUUGACUGUUCAAUUAAACAAAUAGAAAUGGAACGUCCUACUCCUCUGAGGUGCUUAGGAAAAAUUCAUCUCUAAAUGCAGCAGCUUAGUGAAGUUACA
rnacentral:lncRNA from 1 species